GGAUUCCCUAGUAACUGCGAGUGAAGCGGGAAAAGCUCAAAUUUAAAAUCUGGCGGUCUUCGGCCGUCCGAGUUGUAAUCUGGAGAAGCGUUUUCCGCGCUGGACCGUGUACAAGUCUCUUGGAACAGAGCGUCAUAGAGGGUGAGAAUCCCGUCUUUGACACGGACUACCAGUGCUAUGUGAUGCGCUCUCGAUGAGUCGAGUUGUUUGGGAAUGCAGCUCAAAAUGGGUGGUAAAUUCCAUCUAAAGCUAAAUAUUGGCGAGAGACCGAUAGCGAACAAGUACCGUGAGGGAAAGAUGAAAAGCACUUUGGAAAGAGAGUUAAACAGUACGUGAAAUUGCUGAAAGGGAAACGAUUGAAGUCAGUCGCGUGUGCUAGAACUCAGCCUUGCUUUUGCUUGGUGCAUUUUCUAGUGUACGGGCCAGCAUCAGUUUUGGCCGCCGGAAAAAGGCCUUGGGAAUGUGGCACCUUCGGGUGUGUUAUAGCCCUUGGUUGUAUACGGUGGCUGGGACUGAGGAACAUAGCAUGCCUUUACGGCGGGGCUUCGGCCACCUUCAUGCUUUGGAUGCUGGCGUAAUGGCUUUAAACGACCCGUCUUGAAACACGGACCAAGGAGUCUAACAUGCCUGCGAGUGUUUGGGUGGAAAACCCGAGCGCGUAAUGAAAGUGAAAGUUGGGACUUCUGUCGUGGAAGGCACCGACGCCCGGACCAGACCUUCUGUGACGGAUCCGCGGUAGAGCAUGUAUGUUGGGACCCGAAAGAUGGUGAACUAUGCCUGAAUAGGGUGAAGCCAGAGGAAACUCUGGUGGAGGCUCGUAGCGAUUCUGACGUGCAAAUCGAUCGUCAAAUUUGGGUAUAGGGGCGAAAGACUAAU
rnacentral:rRNA from 1 species